UAUCUUUAUAGUAGAAAUAAACGCACUGC
rnacentral:piRNA from 1 species